rnacentral:lncRNA from 1 species
UGGUGGCUGAGGAACAAGAGGAAAUACAGGUUUGACAUUUCUGUCCCUCUCCCCAAACAAACCCAGCACUCCAUUCCCAUUCCUCUGUUGGAUUUUUCCUGUUGAUUUGCAAAAUAAAUAUGGAAAAGUAGAGUAUUAGAAAAUGAGACCAUUUAGAUUUUAGUCAAAUCUAAAAUUAUGUGUAUGGGUUUGUUUUAUGUAUGUUGAUGUUUAUCUCUGAAAAUUGAUAGUAUUAGAGCAUCAAACCACAACUCAUGUCUGAAUUUCUCUUUGUUAGGGCAUGGCAGAGCAGGGGACUCAGUUACCACAAACCUUCAGGGCCCUCAAAGGAAGGCCAAUGGAGCAUCCUCUAGCUGUGCGGGGUGUCAAGAAAUAUUAUAAUGCCAGCACCUUGAAGAAGAAAAAUCUCAGAUUUCCUCCUACUGAGAAGGAUUGCUUACCUUCUGGAACACCUGCACUGAACACCAAGGGGCCGGAAACACUAGCAAUAAUAAUGGAGGAAGAUGAGGAUGAUGGAGAGGUGGGUCUUUUACUGCCCCAGGACAUGACCACACAAGACCAGGCAUGGCAGAGCAGGGGGCUCAGUUGCCACAAACCUUCAGGGUCCUCAAAGGAAAGCCAACGGAGCAUCCUCUAGCUGUGCGGGGUGUCAACAAG